AUUGAACGCUGGCGGCAUGCUUUACACAUGCAAGUCGAACGGUAACAGGCCUUCGGGUGCUGACGCGUGGCUAACGGGUGAGUAAUUCAUCGGAACGUACCCAGAGGUUGGGGAUAACGCAGCGAAAGCUGUGCUAAUCCCACAUGUGAUCUGAGCAUCUAAUCGGUGGACCGAGCAGCAAUGUUUGGCCUCGCGCCUUUGGAGCCGCCGAUGCGGGUUUAGCUGGUUGGUGGGGUAAAGGCCUACCCAGGCGACGAUCCGUAGCCGGUCUGAGUGGACGACAGGCGACACGGGGAGUGAGACGCGGACAAGACGCCUGAGGGAGGGAGCAGUGGGGAAUGUGGGGCAAUGGGGGGAAGCCUGGUCCAGCAAGGCCGAGCGCGGGAAGAAGGCCUUCGGGUUGGAAACAGCUUUUGGCAGGAACGAAACGGUGUCCGCUAAGACCGGGCGCUAAUGACGGUACCUGCAGAAUAAGCACCGGCUAACUACGUG
rnacentral:rRNA from 1 species